rnacentral:rRNA from 1 species
CGGGACGGGUGAGUAACGCGUGGAUAACCUGCCUCACACUGGGGGAUAACAGUUAGAAAUGGCUGCUAAUACCGCAUAAGCGCACAGUACCGCAUGGUACGGUGUGAAAAACCCAGGUGGCGUGAGAUGGAUCCGCGUCUGAUUAGCCAGUUGGCGGGGUAACGGCCCACCAAAGCGACGAUCAGUAGCCGACCUGAGAGGGUGACCGGCCACAUUGGGACUGAGACACGGCCCAA